GCCGCUAUGGUGAAAUCGGUAGACACGCUGCUCUUAGGAAGCAGUGCUGCUAGAGCAUCUCGGUUCGAGUCCGAGUGGCGGCA
rnacentral:tRNA from 1 species